UUUUGGAGGAUUCUGCCAAAGAAAAAGUCAAUGCAAUGAUGAGCAAAAAUCUAUUUUAAUAUAUCUUUCCACUUUCUGUAAUUGGUUAAUGCUUACUCAUGUAUGUGUGUAAUCGAUGGCAGGCGUCACAGUCCAUACCUCAAAUCUGAAGGGAUCAAAGCUUCCAGGAUCAGCAAAAAAAUCAGGAUUGUGGUGAAUGUUCCUGAACAACGGCAUCACCUUCCAACCUUUUGGAAUUAGUUCAGGAGAUGACCCAAGAGAUUGUUUGCAGAAGAUUUCUUCUCCUUUCUUUCUCGCACAAUCUUACCAAUAAUUUGAUUGAGCCUUUUCCUCGCCUUCACAAUUUCAUAUCAAGCUUGACAUGGCUAUGGAUUCAAUAUCAGGCAUCAACUUUCGGGUUGCUUCUGGAAAACGAGGUUUGAACUAGCUUCCUCAUCCGAGCAUGGUAAUCUCCCGUGUGAAAAAAUAGGGCUGAAGGUCCAAUCAAAUUUUCUUUACUUUUUGGGUAUGUUGGUUUGAACAAGUGAGGUUGAGCUACCAGCACAAACCGAGCCGCCUCAGGGCUUGCUAGCAUAACACAUGGGUAUCCAAGUAUUCGAGUUUUGAAUAUGUCACCAUAUCUGAUCAUGAUACAAGAGAUAAUAAUAGUAGCAUUAUUAGUGUCAAACUUGGUGCAUAAAUGAGUGACUGAUCUGUUGUCAUAAUUCUGUUGUAUAUACUAACCUUUUCUGCUUUGAGGCAAAAAAAACAUUCGGGUCUUGUGUGUACAUUUGGAGAGUCUCUCCAAUGCAAGGCCAACCCAUUGAACCCGGGGGAAGUCUGGCUGUUUUUUUAUGCCCCCUCUUUUGUUUUUUGAAUAAACAAUACGAUAAAAGUGAAAAUAAAAAAAUAAUUGCGUAGAAAAAAGUUGCAAAAAGCUUCAUGGACGACUCAAAACACUAUCUCUCUAUCUCUCUGAUUAUUUUUAAUUUUAUUUGGCUUGUUAUGAAAGGACCUUGUAUAGGGUGUGUGUCGAAGAGGAUCUUUCUUGUGGGAAGGCAAAGGGGUCAUGGGGUUUAUAUAGUGACAAAUCAGCUAGAAUGGAUGGUUCCGUAUCACCCCAGAAGCUAAAUUCUAGGUACAAAAAUGAAGAAUGAUGCGAAAGAGAUUUAUCAAGAAUAUUAGCUCCACGUGUUCAGAUGGCGUGGACUUCAGCUUAAUUUACAAACGAGAUACACAAUCAGGGGACCAAAUUCACAAUUUAACAGUGACAUCCGACGAGCGCUACAAUUAGAUGAUUCUGCCGUCGAUGAUCAUUAUUUAUUAAAUAACAAACUCUGAAACCAACCAAGUUGGCGGCAAGUUCGCACAAGCUAAAAAUGGAUGAGUGUUUGAUUACCUGGGCAAAUAAUGUAUCAUUAUUAAUUUAUUAUAUGUGUAUAUUUAAUGAUUUUAUUUUAGGUUAUGUGAAUUGGAGGUAAUUAGUGUUAGAGCCUAGAGGUUUGAUUUUUCUUUUCAA